CCCACCUCCGCCCGGGGUCUGGUCUGACAGGCGUUCUAGUUCGCUCCUCAACAAGCUAGUGAAACCAUGUCCGUGGAUCCAGGAACAGUCGGCCUCUCUCUACCUCUUGUCAGCUCUCCGUGUCCGGUUACUAUUGCCAGGUUCACCACCAUUGAGGCACUUGUCAAGCGAGCUUUGCGUCGCUUUAUUUAAUCCUAAGGGAACGUCAAGUCGCCCUAGAAGCAUCCUCCCCAUUUUCCAAAUCAGGCUUUCAUUCCUGCCAAGGAGCAGCUGAUCUUCAACAUCCAGCAUGCCCCAAGACCUGCCACUUCUGAGCUGUAUCAGGACACCUGCUGCUUCCUGCUGUGUCUGGUAGACCUGGCUGGUGUGGGCAUGCGCUCUCUACCCGGGUCAUCGUUAUCAUCUGUCUAAAUUCCAUGCUGCUAAGUUGCUUCAGUCGUGUCCAACUCUGUGCGACCCCAUCGACGGAAGCCCACUAGGCUCCACCGCGCCUGGAAUUCUCCAGGCAAGAACACUGGAGUGGGUUGCCAUUUCCUUCUCCAAUGCAUGAAAGUGAAAAGUGAAAAAGAAGUCGCUCAGUCAUGUCCAACUCUUAGCGACCCCAUGGACUACAGCCUACCAGGCUCCUCCAUCCAUGGGAUUUUCCAGGCAAGAGUACUGGAGUGGGGUGCCAUUGCCUUCUCCGCUAAAUUCCAUAUAUAUGUGUUAAUAUACUGUACUGGUGUUUUUCUUUCUGACUUACUUCGCUCUGUAUGAUAAGCUCCAGUUUCAUCCACUUCAUUAGAACUGAUUCAAAUGCAUUCUUUUUAAUAGCUGAGUAAUAUUCCAUUGUGUUUAUGUACCACAGCUUGCUUAUCCAUUCGUCUGCUGAUGGACAUCUAGGUUGCUUCCAUGUCCUGGCUAUUGUAAACAGUGCUGUGAUGAACAUUAGGGUAUACGUGUCUCUUUCAAUUUAUAGAUGAAUAUUUUAGCGGGCUUUCGAAAAG
ensembl:lncRNA